GCACAGUAAUGGACUUAUAGCAAGCUUUUCACCGUACCCAUAGUGUAUCCAUGCCAGAGUAAACUGCAUCCUGGAACCACUGCCCAGCCUCCUUACCCAGAGGCUGUGAACACUGCAGGGGGUUACAGAGUG
rnacentral:snoRNA from 1 species